rfam:Astyanax mexicanus chromosome 12, whole genome shotgun sequence.
GCUGUGAUGGCCGAGUGGUUAAGGCGUUGGAUUAGAAAUCCAAUGGGGUUUCCCCGCGCAGGUUCAAAUCCUGCUCACAGCG